UACGUAGGGUGCAAGCGUUAAUCGGAAUUACUGGGCGUAAGCGUGACGCAGGCGGCUUUGCAAGACAGAUGUGAAAUCCCCGGGCUUAACCUGGGAACUGCAUUUGUGACUGCAUGGCUGGAGUGUGGCAGAGGGGAUGGAAUUCCGGCGUGUAGCAGUGAAAUGCGUAGAUAUGCGGAGGAACACCGAUGGCGAAGGGCAAUCCCCUGGGCCUGCACUGACGCUCAUGCACGAAAGCGUGGGGAGCAAACAGG
rnacentral:rRNA from 1 species